rnacentral:rRNA from 1 species
AUCCUACGGGACGCAGCAGUGGGGAAUAUUGCACAAUGGGGGGAACCCUGAUGCAGCGACGCCGCGUGAAGGAAGAAGUAUCUCGGUAUGUAAACUUCUAUCAGCAGGGAAGAAAGAGGACGGUACCUGACUAAGAAGCCCCGGCUAACUACGUGCCAGCAGCCGCGGUAAUACGUAGGGGGCGAGCGUUAUCCGGAUUUACUGGGUGUAAAGGGAGCGUAGACGGCCAUGCAAGCUCGGUGUGAAAGGUGCGG